rnacentral:sRNA from 1 species
ACGCCCGAAAGGAGGUGAUCCGGAAGUGAUUUCUUACCGGACCAGCGAGGUGGCUGCGGGCUAAGGCCUGCACGUCGCACUCUGUGCACCUCGGCAGGCCGAACUGCCGAAGAACAACGCAGUCACCCGACCGUGAGUCGCCGGUAAGUCCGGCCGGCUCCCGUCCGAACCUAGGCGGACGGGACCAGACUCACGGUCGUCUGCGU